rnacentral:rRNA from 1 species
UACGUAGGGUGCGAGCGUUGUCCGGAAUUACUGGGCGUAAAGAGCUCGUAGGUGGUUUGUCGCGCUGUUCGUGAAAACUCACAGCUUAACUGUGGGCGUGCGGGCGAUACGGGCAGACUGGAGUACUGGAGAGGAGACUGGAAUUUACGGUGUAGCAGUGAAAUGCGUAGAUAUCGAGAGGAACACCAGUGGCGAAGGCGAGUCCCUGGACAACACCUGACACUGAGGCACGAAAGCUAGGGGAGCAAACAGG